rnacentral:rRNA from 1 species
GAUGAACGCUGGCGGCGUGCCUAAUACAUGCAAGUCGAGCGAACGGACGAGAAGCUUGCUUCUCUGAUGUUAGCGGCGGACGGGUGAGUAACACGUGGAUAACCUACCUAUAAGACUGGGAUAACUUCGGGAAACCGGAGCUAAUACCGGAUGAUAUUUUGAACCGCAUGGUUCAAAAGUGAAAGACGGUCUUGCUGUCACUUAUAGAUGGAUCCGCGCUGCAUUAGCUAGUUGGUAGGGUAACGGCUUACCAAGGCAACGAUGCAUAGCCGACCUGAGAGGGUGAUCGGCCACACUGGAACUGAGCCACGGUCCAGACUCCUACGGGAGGCAGCAGUAGGGAAUCUUCCGCAAUGGGCGAAAGCCUGACGGAGCAACGCCGCGUGAGUGAUGAAGGUCUUCGGAUCGUAAAACUCUGUUAUUAGGGAAGAACAUAUGUGUAAGUAACUGUGCACAUCUUGACGGUACCUAAUCAGAAAGCCACGGCUAACUACGUG